CGAUUUUCAAAAUGGCGGCCGAAGCCUUUUUGUCAAUUAAAUGACGAAGAAAUGUGUAUUUUUUUUUUUUCCAUAUAAUCACCUAUGAAAUUAUACUAAAACAAUUAUUCACCUCAGGCUCGGUGAUUAUCGUGAAUAAAAACCUCGACUUCGUCUCGGUUUUUAUUCACCGAUAAUCACCUCGCCUUCGGCGAAUAAUUGUUAAAUAAG